rnacentral:sRNA from 12 species
GUAAAAAUAAGAAUUAUAUUUAUCGAAUUGGCUUGUGUAAACAAGAGCUGCUAGGUGCAGUUA